UACGUAGGGUGCGAGCGUUGUCCGGAAUUAUUGGGCGUAAAGAGCUCGUAGGCGGCCUGUCGCGUCGGAUGUGAAAUCCCUGGGCUCAACCCAGGAACUGCGUCCGAUACUGGUUGGCUUGAAUCCGGGAGAGGGAUGUGGAAUUCCAGGUGUAGCGGUGAAAUGCGCAGAUAUCAGGAAGAACACCCGUGGCGAAAGCGGCUCUCUGGAACGGUACUGACGCUGAGACGCGAAAGCGUGGGGAGCGAACAGG
rnacentral:rRNA from 1 species